UACGUAGGGUGCAAGCGUUAAUCGGAAUUACUGGGCGUAAAGCGUGCGCAGGCGGUUUUGUAAGAUAGAGGUGAAAUCCCCAGGCUCAACCUGGGAACUGCCUUUGUGACUGCAAGGCUAGAGUACGGCAGAGGGGAGUGGAAUUCCGCGUGUAGCAGUGAAAUGCGUAGAUAUGCGGAGGAACACCGGUGGCGAAGGCAACCCCCUGGGCCUGUACUGACGCUCAUGCACGAAAGCGUGGGGAGCAAACAGG
rnacentral:rRNA from 1 species